rnacentral:rRNA from 1 species
GACAGAGGGGGCAAGCGUUGUCCGGACUGACUGGGCGUAAAGCGCGCGCAGGCGGUCUCGGGCGUCGGUGCUGAAAGUCCACCGCUUAACGGUGGGAAGCGUGCCGAUACGCCGAGACUGGAGGGUGGGCGAGGGUGGUGGAAUUGCCGGUGUAGUGGUGAAAUGCGUAGAGAUCGGCAGGAACACCCGUGGCGUAAGCGGCCACCUAGCCCGCACCUGACGCUGAGGCGCGACAGCGUGGGGAGCGAACAGG